rnacentral:rRNA from 1 species
CAAUGGGCGCAAGCCUGAACGAGCAAUGCCGCGUGAACGAGGAAGGUCUUCGGAUCGUAAAGUUCUGUUGAAGGGGAAAAAGAGCGGAGAGAGGAAAUGGUCUCCGAUUGAUAUUACCCUUCGAGGAAGUCACGGCUAACUACGUGCC